rnacentral:rRNA from 1 species
CAGUCGCCGCGGGAAUACGAAGGGUGCAAGCGUUACUCGGAAUUACUGGGCGUAAAGCGUGCGUAGGUGGUGGUUUAAGUCCGUUGUGAAAGCCCUGGGCUCAACCUGGGAAUUGCAGUGGAUACUGGGUCACUAGAGUGUGGUAGAGGAUAGUGGAAUUUCCGGUGUAGCAGUGAAAUGCGUAGAGAUCGGAAGGAACAUCUGUGGCGAAGGCGACUAUCUGGGCCAACACUGACACUGAGGCACGAAAGCGUGGGGAGCAAACAGGAUUAGAUACCCCUGUAGUCCCUGUCUCUUAACA